rnacentral:rRNA from 1 species
UACGUAGGGACCGAGCGUUGUCCGGAAUCAUUGGGCGUAAAGAGCGUGUAGGCGGCCAGGUAGGUCUGCUGUGAAAACUCGAGGCUUAACCUCGAGCUGUCGGCGGAAACCAUCUGGCUAGAGUCCGGAAGAGGAGAAUGGAAUUCCCGGUGUAGCGGUGAAAUGCGCAGAUAUCGGGAAGAACACCCGUGGCGAAGGCGGUUCUCUGGGACGGUACUGACGCUGAGACGCGAAAGCGUGGGGAGCGAACAGG